UGGGGAAUAUUGCACAAUGGGCGCAAGACUGAUGCAGCCAUGCCGCGAGUAUGAAGAAGGCCAUGGGGUUGUAAAGUACUUUCAGUCGGGAGGAAGGUGUCAAGGUUAAUAACCUUGGCAAUUGACGUUACCGACAGAAGAAGCACCGGCUAACUCCGUGCCAGCAGCCGCGGUAAUACGGAGGGUGCAAGCGUUAAUCGGAAUUACUGGGCGUAAAGCGCACGCAGGCGGUUGAUUGAGUCAGAUGUGAAAUCCCCGGGCUUAACCCGGGAAUUGCAUCUGAUACUGGUCAGCUAGAGUCUUGUAGAGGGGGGUAGAAUUCCAUGUGUAGCGAUGAAAUGCGUAGAGAUGUGGAGGAAUACCGGUGGCGAAGGCGGCCCCCUGGACAAAGACUGACGCUCAGGUGCGAAAGCGUGGGGAGCAAACAGG
rnacentral:rRNA from 1 species